rnacentral:rRNA from 1 species
UACGUAGGGUGCAAGCGUUGUCCGGAAUUAUUGGGCGUAAAGAGCUCGUAGGCGGUCUGUCGCGUCGGCUGUGAAAACCCGAGGCUCAACCUCGGGCCUGCAGUCGAUACGGGCAAAUUAGAGUACUGCAGGGGAGACUGGAAUUCCUGGUGUAGCGGUGAAAUGCGCAGAUAUCAGGAGGAACACCGGUGGCGAAGGCGGGUCUCUGGGCAGUAACUGACGCUGAGGAGCGAAAGCGUGGGGAGCGAACAGG